rnacentral:rRNA from 1 species
CUGGUGGGGAAUAACCCUGGGAAACCGGGGCUAAUACCGCAUAAGUUCGAGAGGAGAAAGGCGCAAGUCGCCGGAAGAGGAGUCCGCGGUCGAUUAGCUAGUUGGGAGGGUAAAAGCCUACCAAGGCUUUGAUCGAUAGCCGGCCGGAGAGGGCACUCGGCCACACUGGCACUGAAACACGGGCCAGACUCCUACGGGAGGCCGCUGUGGGUAAUCUUGCGUAAUGGGGAAACCCUGAUGCAGCGACGCCGCGUGAGCGAUGAAGCCCUUCGGGGUGUAAUGCUCUUUCGACAGGGACGAUAAUGAUUGUACCUGGAGAAGAAGCUGCGGUUAACUACGUGCCAGCAGCCGCGGUAAUACUUAGGCAGCAAACGUUGUUUUGGAGUUUCUGGGCUUAAAGUGUGCUUAGGCGCCUCGCCAAGUUCGGUUGAAAUCUCCUGUCUUAAGUGGGAGG